rnacentral:tRNA from 1 species
GGAAUUGUGGCUCAGUGGUAGAGUACUCACCUAGCACAUGUGAGGUCCUGGGUUUGAUUCUCAGCACCA